ensembl:lncRNA
AUGCCAGGAAAAAUGCCCCAAAACCACAGCACAAAACUCCUCCAGGAGAAGCUGAACGCUGGGAUCUCUGCCCGGGGCUGGGUGAGGGGGUGCGGACGCCCCAGGGCCUACCCCCGAGUUUCGGGGCGGGGGAGCGAUGCUCGCAGGGUCUGGGCCGGAGCGGCAUCGCCGUUCCCCCACCCCCGAGGUGCCGCGAGCUGCCGCCCCAGCCCCGGCCCCAGCCCUUACAUGGACAAAUCUGCCUGCAGGGAAAGGCAGGAAUUUGGGCCCUUGACGUCAGCCCCGGGCAGAGCGCAGCAGCCCGGCGGGGCGGGAGGCAGCGGCCGCCGCUUUCGCUUUUUGUUUCGGGGGUGUCCCCGGGAGCUCGGGGCUCGCAGCCCACCUCCUACGCCGGAGGGGAGUUGCUACUUCUCCUGGAGCCUGGCGGAUGGCUGGUGUGGAGCUGGUCUCACUUGUUUGCAUGCCGGAUGCCAGCUGAUGUGGUGCUGUGCCACGGCUGUGAAAGAAACCCAAAGUCGUGACUCUGGCAGUCUCCAGAAGCCCCGCUCCGAGUUCAUCCCACCAGCAAGGCUGUGCAGUGCAGGAGCCGUCUCUCCCUUUCUGCGCUUGUUGGAAGACCAGGAUGAGUGGUGCAAGGCCCAGUGGGUGAUGGAACUCAGGGCCAUGCACUGGGGCUGGUAA